AGGGCCAGGUUUGAAAAGAUUCGCUUGGAACUAGGUAUGAUUAGAAUUGUUUGAAUGUACCAAUGAUAUUAAUUCCCUAAGAGUAGGGAUGGCAAUGGGUCCUGGACCCGACCCAGACCCGCCUGGACCCGACCCAUUUAUAAGGGUCUGGGUCCAUUUUUUUAGACCCAAUGGGUCUGGGUCGGGUCUGGGUCCUGGAGAGCAUGGGUCGGGUCUGGGUCCGGGUCCAAAAAUGUCAGACCCAGACCCGGCCCAGACCCGACCCACAGACCCAUAUAUAAUAAUAUAUUAAAAAAAUAAAAAAUUCUAAAAAAACUAAAACCCUAAUACAACUAUAGGAGUCUCUAACAGUAACAUUCUUCAAAAAAAAAAGCUACAGCCGUUUCUUUCUUUCUCCAACUCCAUCUCCAUGGCUCUAACAAGUAACAAUCCUUGGAUCCUUCCUUGUUUCUACUCUCUAACUGUUGAAUUUGAUUGCGCGUUAAGCCGUUAACCAUACAAUCCGGCGACCUCCUGGCUCCUGCUCUCCAUUCGUCGACGACCAGCCACCCUUCUCACAACUCGCAAGUCGCAUUCGUCCACUUCGCAACUCGCAACUCGCAUUCGUCACUUCGCAAUCGCAACUCGCAUCAACUCGCAAGGAUCUUGAUGACGAUGACAUUGAUGAUGAAAUGGAAGAGAACUAGCGAUAUGGAAGUGGAAAUUUAUGUAUUUGAGACUUGAACUCUUGAUGUUAUAUUGUUAUUUUAGCUUGUUUUGAAACUUUGUGAGUUUGGAACAUGUGUCUUUGUAAUAUUGUGAAGUUUUGUGAGUUGUGACUCCAUUUGAAAAUUGAAACUUUGUAAUGUGUAUGAUAUAAUUUGUAUGGUAAAUUGGUAAUGCUUCACCAAAUAUAUUCUUGAAACAAUAUAGUGAUCAUAUUCAUAGCAACAUGCACUACUAAAAUAAGUGUAA